CUCUUUGUGCGCCUGCUCUCAUGGCUUCUUUUUCUUCCCCUCUCUGCUGUUCCCCACCGAUCUCUGCGGAGUCUAUGGACUCUGGGGGACAAGACGCGGGUCGCCCUAGUGCAGCAGGCUCCUGACCUUCGCCAACCAGCAGGACCUGGCUCCCUGGUCUUCUCUCCUCCACUGCUCCCCCCCACCCCCGAUCUCUCCGGCGUCUGUGGACUCCGGAAGGCGAGACGCGGGUCGGCCUGGUACAGCAGGCGCCUGACCUUCGCCUGCGGGACCCAGGAGCACAAUGAAUGGGCUUUGCCGACACUCGCUGGCUGCCUAUGCUCGAAGGAAGGGCGAUGUCUGAAGGCCGCCCAGGGGCCCCAUCCCCUCACCUAGAUGUGGGCUAACCUAGGACCCAGACUAAGGUGGAGUUCCUACAAGUGACUAGAAUGUCAUGAUCAUCUCAUUGUCUAACAAGCCCUUUGUCCUCUGUGCUGGGAAGGCCUUAGCUGCUACUCAAAACUGACAAGUUGGACUCCUUUUUACUACUGCCUUGUUGCCAGCUAUCCGAGCGUGAAAGGCCGCAAAGCCGUGGGUGCUGGCUGUCCCACAUCACAGGCAUGGCAGGUGGCAGCCCAGACUGAACCAGAGCCUCACUUGAACAUGAGCAUUAGCCAAUGUAAUAAAAGCCUACCUUGCCUGAAGUGUAUCUGUUUUUCUGCUUACAAUGGCUUGCAAUGGAAGUGCAUGGUUUCCUGCUUCUAAUAAAAUCCUUUAAAAGCACUUAA